AUUGAACGCUGGCGGCAGGCCUAACACAUGCAAGUCGAACGAGUGGCGGACGGGUGAGUAAUGUCUGGGAAACUGCCUGAUGGAGGGGGAUAACUACUGGAAACGGUAGCUAAUACCGCAUACCAUCAGAUGUGCCCAGAUGGGAUUAGCUAGUUGGUGGGGUAAUGGCUCACCCAGGCCACGAUCCCUAGCUGGUCUGAGAGGGUGAUCAGCCACACUGGAACUGAGACACGGCCCAGACUCCUACGGGAGGCAGCAGUAGGGAAUCUUCGGCAAUGGACGAAAGCCUGAUCGAGCCACGCCGCGUGAGUGAAGAAGGUUUUCGGAUCGUAAAGCACUGUUGGUAGGGAGGCGGUAUCUACACAGAAAGCCCCGGCUAACUACGUGCCAGCCGCCGCGGUAAUUC
rnacentral:rRNA from 1 species